rnacentral:rRNA from 1 species
AGUUUCCUACGGGGCGCAGCAGUGAGGAAUAUUGGUCAAUGGGCGCGAGCCUGAACCAGCCAAGUCGCGUGAGGGAAGACGGUCCUAUGGAUUGUAAACCUCUUUUGUCGGGGAGCAAAAGACGCCACGCGUGGCGUUCCGAGAGUCCCCGAAGAAAAAGCAUCGGCUAACUCCGUGCCAGCAGCCGCGGAAAUACGGAGUAUGCGGGCGUUAUCCGGAUUUAUUGGGUUUAAAGGGGGCGCAGGCGGAUGAUCAAG